rnacentral:rRNA from 1 species
GACGAACGCUGGCGGCGUGCUUAACACAUGCAAGUCGAACGGUAAGGCCCUUUCGGGGGUACACGAGUGGCGAACGGGUGAGUAACACGUGGGUGAUCUGCCCUGCACUUUGGGAUAAGCCUGGGAAACUGGGUCUAAUACCGGAUAGGACUACGCGAUGCAUGUCGUGUGGUGGAAAGCUUUUGCGGUGUGGGAUGGGCCCGCGGCCUAUCAGCUUGUUGAUGGGGUGAUGGCCUACCAAGGCGACGACGGGUAGCCGGCCUGAGAGGGUGUCCGGCCACACUGGGACUGAGAUACGGCCCAGACUCCUACGGGAGGCAGCAGUGGGGAAUAUUGCACAAUGGGCGCAAGCCUGAUGCAGCGACGCCGCGUGGGGGAUGACGGCCUUCGGGUUGUAAACCCCUUUCAGCACAGACGAAGCGUAAGUGACGGUAUGUGCAGAAGAAGCACCGGCCAACUACGUG